rnacentral:rRNA from 1 species
UACGUAGGGUGCAAGCGUUAAUCGGAAUUACUGGGCGUAAAGCGUGCGCAGGCGGUUUUGUAAGUCUGACGUGAAAUCCCCGGGCUCAACCUGGGAAUUGCGUUGGAGACUGCAAGGCUAGAAUCUGGCAGAGGGGGGGUAGAAUUCCACGUGUAGCAGUGAAAUGCGUAGAUAUGUGGAGGAACACCGAUGGCGAAGGCAGCCCCCUGGGUCAAGAUUGACGCUCAUGCACGAAAGCGUGGGGAGCAAACAGG